rnacentral:rRNA from 1 species
AUUGGAGAGUUUGAUCCUGGCUCAGGACGAACGCUGGCGGCGUGCCUAAUACAUGCAAGUCGAGCGAGUCUCUUCGGAGGCUAGCGGCGGACGGGUGAGUAACACGUAGGCAACCUGCCUCUCAGACUGGGAUAACAUAGGGAAACUUAUGCUAAUACCGGAUAGGUUUUUGGGUCGCAUGAUCCGAAAAGAAAAGGCGGCUUUAAGCUGUCACUGGGAGAUGGGCCUGCGGCGCAUUAGCUAGUUGGUGGGGUAAUGGCCUACCAAGGCGACGAUGCGUAGCCGACCUGAGAGGGUGACCGGCCACACUGGGACUGAGACACGGCC